rfam:Oryza rufipogon genomic scaffold, chr05
AAAAAGGCAAACCCUAGGUUUGCGUGUCCAACUUUGACUGUCCGUCUUAUAUGAAAUUUUUUUAUAAUUAUUUUUAUUAUUUUUUUAUAAUUAUUAUUUUUAUUAUUGUUAGAUGAUAAAACAUGAUUAAUACUUUGUGCGUGACUUGUCUUUUUAAUUUUUUUCAUAAUUUUUUCAAAUAAGACGAACGGUCAAACAUUGGGCACGGAAACCAGGGUUUGUCUUUUU